UUAUAACUCACUCCGGACUGUGGACUCUGUACCCUGUGAGAUGACAGGUAAAUACUGCCCCGCACAGUGAUCUCUACAGCCCAGGAAAGAUGAGCAGAUAUAUGGGAGAAGAUCUCGGGGACUCACACAGCUUGAGGAUGUAAGAAGAAGGUGGGAGAGAGAAGCCAUGAUUCCGCUGAGGAUGCCUCUGAAAGUCUGCAAAUUGGGUUUGCAGAACAUACAGUUUCCUAUGGAACAGCCCUGAAUGUAGCAAAUGUUCCCUUCAACCAAGUAUAUGCUUAUCAGAAAUGGAGUACUUACAGCUGGAUGACUGGGAAAAAGAACCACAUAAUGACUUACUCUGACAAGAGGAACAGGAGUCUUCUGGGCUGGCAAACACUCGUGGGCUGGAAGAAUUAAUAUAAGCCUCAAAGAGACCAGUGCAGGUGGCUUAGGAAGGGGUUAGGAGACUGAGGUUUGGUGCCACUUGAGAAGUGUAAGAAUAGCCCUUGUGAGGUCCCAACAGAAAAGGCAGCUGGCAAGUGUAGUUAAGAAGCUUGGGUAUCGGAAUGUAAGCUUGUCCUUCUGCAGGAAAAGCAGAGGGACCGGAGGUUGCUAGGGUACUGAUGGACUGUGUUAAGCUACACAGGAGGGUCACCCAUAAAUCUCUAAAGAUGCCCAUACACCUUAUCUUAUAGAGGGGAUUUUAUGGUCAUGAAAUAGCUUAGGGUACCCAGAUCAAACGCCUUUUUACAGUUUCUUUAUACACCCUUCCGUUCCUGAGAUAUGUGGGUUGAUAGUUUGACACUUCAAGGAAUCAGUCAGAUGGGCGUGAACUCAAUUUAAAAAAUAUCAGAUGAUGAGCAGUCAUGGGGUGUGAAUAUUGAGGGACAUGUAUGCAACACCGCCUGGCUGUAUAAUCCCACCCAUCACCUGAUAUUCACUUCUAUUAAUAAUUACGCUCAAAACUAUAAACCCACAAACUAUAAACCCACUGGAAUGGAAGGUCACAUUAAUAAACCGUAAAAACAUGUAUAAUGAGGGUAACUAUUUAGGAUACUGCAAUCUCAAUUUUUCAGGGUUGGCCACAGAUCCUCUUUAAAGAUGGCCAACGCUCUAAGGUAUAUGGGGGUCUCCAGACUAUCCACCAGCAGAUCAUGUUGGUAGAGAUUAGAAUCGGGCAUGCUACAUUUUGUUUUGCCUGACCAUAUUUUUCUGCUGACAGAGCUGUUUGUCUGCGACUUACCCCUCCCUUCCCCAUAGAGAGAGAUAACUGUCAGCCGAAUUAGCAUUCUGUCCACAAUUAUUGCAAGUGUACGGCCAGCUUCAGGGUAAGUUCACACGAGCGGACCCACAGCGUAUUUUACUCUGCAGAUCCGCCGCUGAAGUAUCCCUACAUGGUGCCUUUACAUGUGCCUGCUCGGAGCGGCAAUAUGCCACUACGAGCAGACACACUGCAAUGUGCGAGUUGCCGCGCAUGCCUGGUUACUCGCGCACAUAGCGGCCACUCCCCCUGCUCCAUGAGCUAUGCCAAGAGCUGCCGCAGUGGGUGAGUAUACUGCACUUGCACGCUGUGACUUGCACAUCGCAGUGUGUCUGCUUGUAGCGGCGUAAUGCAGAUCCGAGCAGGCACAUGUAAAGCCACCAUGCAGGAGUCCUUCAGCGGCGGAUUUGCAGCGUUAAAUACACUGUGGGUCCACUUGUGUAAUCAUACCCUAAGAGAGACUAGGAGGGCGACUUACAGUCAUCUGUUCCAGUGAUGCAGAGGUAUAGGCUGAGUUACUGUCAAACCCUGAGUAGUAAGCUUUAGAGAGUCCUCUGGGGAUUUAAACAUAACGUCAGCCCUUUCAAACCAUUGGGAAGGCUGAAUUUAGGCCAUCUAAGGGGCUGAACGCAAAUUCCUUAGAAUUACUGUGAUCUGCAUUGUCCUCUUUUAAAGUAAAACCAUACAAGAGUGAGAAAAGUCAAUUACAAGUAAAUCACAUGAUAUAAUGCCAAAACUAUCCCAAUAUAACCAUUCCAUACGUGUGCCGUACAAUAUUGUAUAAAAAAAAAUUGUAAAAUGAACAUUAAAGGAAAUGUUGUCAAACGAUAAA